AAUAUUUUAGUUGGAUAACUGAGGUAAUUCUUGAGCUAAUACACGCUAUUUAUACCACAUUAGUGGUGCGUUUAUUUGAUUAAACCAUUUUUAUAUAUUGGUUGACUCAAAAUAUCCUCGCUGAUUUUGUUACUAAAACAUACCGUAUGUGUAUCUGGUUUAUCAACUUUCGAUGGUAGGGUAUUGGCCUACCAUGGUUGUGACGGAUAACGGAGAAUUAGGGUUCGACUCCGGAGAGGGAGCCUGAGAAACGGCUACCACAUCCAAGGAAGGCAGCAGGCGCGAAAAUUACCCAAUUUUAGUUAAAAGAGGUAGUGACGAAAAAUGACAACCAAAUAUUAUUAUUAAUAUUUGGAUUGAAAAUCUUCAAGUUUAAAUAACUUGUUGGUAAAGGAAAGGGCAAGUCUGGUGCCAGCAGCCGCGGUAAUACCAGCUUU
rnacentral:rRNA from 1 species